rnacentral:tRNA from 6 species
GGAGGGGUUCCCGAGUGGUCAAAGGGAGCAGACUGUAAAUCUGCCGGCUGACGCCUUCGCAGGUUCGAAUCCUGCCCCCUCCACCA